rnacentral:lncRNA from 1 species
GUGUGUUUCAGAGUGUGUGUGUGUGUGUGUUUCAGAGUGUGUGUUUCAGAGUGUGUGUGUGUGUUUCAGAGUGUGUGUGUGUGUUUCAGAGUGUGUGUGUGUUUCAGAGUGUGUGUGUUUCAGAGUGUGUGUGUGUGUGUGUUUCAGAGUGUGUGUGUGUGUGUGUUUCAGAGUGUGUGUGUGUGUGUGAGUGAGUGUGUGUGUUUCAGAGUGUGUGUGUGUGUGUGUGUUUCAGAGUGUGUGUGUGUGUGUUUCAGAGUGUGUGUGUGCGUGUGUUUCAGAGUGUGUGUGUGUGUUUCAGAGUGUGUGUGUGUUUCAGAGUGUGUGUGUUUCAGAGUGUGUGUGUGUGUGUGUUUCAGUGUGUGUGUGUGUGUGUGUUUCAGAGUGUGUGUGUGUGUGUGGUUGAGAGUGUGUGUGUGUUUCAGAGUGUGUGUGUGUUUCAGAGUGUGUGUGUGUGUGUGUUUCAGAGUGUGUGUGUGUGUGUGUGUGUGUUUCAG